UACGAGGGGGGCGAGCGUUGUUCGGAAUUAUUGGGCGUAAAGGGUGCGUAGGCGGUUUGGUAAGUCUGAUGUGAAAUCUAUGGGCUCAACUCAUAGUCUGCAUCGGAAACUGCCGGGCUUGAGUAUGGGAGAGGUGAGUGGAAUUCCUGGUGUAGCGGUGAAAUGCGUAGAUAUCAGGAGGAACACCUGUGGCGAAAGCGGCUCACUGGACCAUAACUGACGCUGAUGCACGAACGCUAGGGGAGCAAACAGG
rnacentral:rRNA from 1 species